GCGACUAUCUAUCUAGGAUUUUACAAGGUUGACCUUCACUGUGGUAUCUGCAUGCCUUGCAGAAGUAGUAAGCAGGUUUCUUUACAUAUAAGGGCUUUAAUGCCAGGCUUAUGCUGAUUUCCUAACAGAGACUGCUUAUAGUAGAUUCCUUUUUACCUCACGUUUGCAUGUUAUAGCCCUAGAAGAAAGGAAAGUUGAUGCUGAUUUAACAACACAGGGGCUGUGUGGCUAAAUAACCUGUGGAGGAGAAAACAAUUAGGGCCUGCUCCCGAUGGCACUGAAAUCAAAAGCUCACGUUGAAGGCAGUGCUACACGAUCAAGCAGCGCUGGUGAAAUGUAGCUCUUUGCAGACCACCUGUGUACAAAGGACGGAUGGUUUUGAGACUGGGGCACUGGUCUGGGGCUCAGUGAGUUGAAUUCCUGACUCUGCCACGAUGGGCAAGUCACUUAAUCUCUCCGCUGUAAAAUGGGAACACUAUAACACUUCCCUUCUCCCAUC